rnacentral:rRNA from 1 species
UUCGCAAUGCCCGAAAGGGUGACGAAGCGACGCCGCGUGCGGGAAGAAGGCCUUCGGGUUGUAAACCGCUGUCGGGAGUUAAGAAAUGCAAGGAUAUUAAUAGUAUCUUUGCUUGACUAAGGCUCCGGAGGAAGCCACGGCCAACUCUGUGCCAGCAGCCGCGGUAAUACAGAGGCGGCAAGCGUUGUUCGGAAUUAUUGGGCGUAAAGAGCACGUAGGCGGCUAUGUAAGUCGGUUGUGAAAGCCUUCCGCUCAACGGGAGAACAGCAUCCGAUACUGCAUAGCUUGAGUGCGGGAGGGGAGAGUGGAACUUCUGGUGGAGCGGUGAAAUGCGUAGAUAUCAGAAGGAACGCCGGCGGCGAAAGCGGCUCUCUGGCCCGUAACUGACGCUGAGUGUGCGAAAGCUAGGGGAGCAAACGGGAUUAGAUACCCCGGUAGCCCUAGUCGUAAACGAUGGGCACUAAGUAGAGGGGUUUU